CCGAGUGAGGGCCCCUGGCCCGACCUCCAACCCUCUGUUAUCAAAACCACUGUUGCCUCGGGGGCGACCCGGACCUCGCGGUUUCGGGGCCCCCGGCGGACAAUCUCAAAACCCUGCAUCUUUGCGUCGGGUUCAAAAGUUUAAUUGAUUA
rnacentral:misc_RNA from 1 species